rfam:Tetrahymena thermophila SB210 genomic scaffold scf_8254487, whole genome shotgun sequence.
GUGGAUAUAGCUCAGUUGGAAGAGCGUAAGAUUGUGGCUCUUAAGGUCGUGGGAUCGAAACCCACUAUCCACA